GAUGAACGCUGGCGGCGUGCCUAAUACAUGCAAGUCGAGCGAACAGACCAGUCGCUUUCUUCUCUGAGGUUACCGGCGGGUGGGACGGUAACAAGUUGAUCCCCUCCCUAUAAUAAUCGUCUGAAUUCGGGGCAACUGCGCUAAUACCCGCUACUUCGUUGAACCGCAGGGUUCAAAAGUUAACGACGGUCUUUGUGUCCCUGAUCGAUGAAUCCGCUCGGCAUUAGCUAGUUGGGAAGGUAACGGCUUACCAAGCCACCGAUGCGUAGCCGACCUGAGAGGGGGAUCGGCCACACUGGAAGUGAGACGCGGUCCAGACUCCUACGGGAGGCAGCAGUAGGGAAUCGUCCGCAAUGGGGGAAAGCCUUACGGAGCAACGCCGCGUGAGUGACGAAGGUCUUCGGAUCGUAAAACCCUGUUAUUAGGGAAGAACAUAUGUGUAAGGAAAUGAGCAGUACGUGACGGUACCUAAACAGAAAGCCACGGCUAACUACGUG
rnacentral:rRNA from 1 species